AACCGGAUUAGAUACCCUGGUAGUCCACGCCGUAAACGAUGUCGACUUGGAGGCUGUUCCCCUGAGGAGUGGCUUCCGGAGCUAACGCGUUAAGUCGACCGCCUGGGGAGUACGGCCGCAAGGUUAAAACUCAAAUGAAUUGACGGGGGCCCGCACAAGCGGUGGAGCAUGUGGUUUAAUUCGAUGCAACGCGAAAAACCUUACCUACUCUUGACAUCCACGGAAUUUGGCAAAGAUGCCUUAGUGCCUUCGGGAACCGUGAGACAGGUGCUGCAUGGCUGUCGUCAGCUCGUGUUGUGAAAUGUUGGGUUAAGUCCCGCAACGAGCGCAACCCUUAUCCUUUGUUGCCAGCGAUUCGGUCGGGAACUCAAAGGAGACUGCCGGUGAUAAACCGGAGGAAGGUGGGGAUGACGUCAAGUCAUCAUGGCCCUUACGAGUAGGGCUACACACGUGCUACAAUGGCGCAUACAAAGAGAAGCGACCUCGCGAGAGCAAGCGGACCUCAUAAAGUGCGUCGUAGUCCGGAUCGGAGUCUGCAACUCGACUCCGUGAAGUCGGAAUCGCUAGUAAUCGUGGAUCAGAAUGCCACGGUGAAUACGUUCCCGGGCCUUGUACACACCGCCCGUCACACCAUGGGAGUGGGUUGCAAAAGAAGUAGGUAGCUUAACCUUCGGGAGGGCGCUUACCACUUUGUGAUUCAUGACUGGGGUGAAGUCGUAACAAGGUACC
rnacentral:rRNA from 1 species